rnacentral:lncRNA from 1 species
AAUUUGGAUUAUACUGUUACCUCCCAAGGGAAGACCUGAACUUGUGAGAGAUCUGCCAUCUUUCUAAGCAUAGGUGAUUUCAUACAAUUUUAAAGCAACAGCUCAGUAAGAUUUUUCAACCAUUACAGUAGCAUUUGGCACUAAAUAAAAAGCUCUAACAUGAGCUACUCCUUUCAGUCUGUAAUUGGAAAAGUUGCUAUCAAGUUUUCCUGUACCAUCCUCUUACUUUUGCCAAAUACCAUAUCUGUUCAUGUUGGUCAUUUAAUUACUUUGGGCAUACUACUCUGUAUCAAUUGAACAAAUGAAUAAACUCUGGAAUAUAUCCCCAACCUCAUAUGAUGUGGAUGCCGUAGAAAUUGUUGCUAUUAUUAUUAUUUUCUAUUUUAAUUUGUAAUAUUUGCAAUUAUUUUGUGAGUUCAAUUAAAAAUUAGUGUUCAUCUACAUUAGUAGUUGUCAGUAUCAUUUAAAUUCCAAGUCUAUAAUGACGUAGUGUUUCACAGUCAUUGAAUGCCAAGAUGAGCAAGACUAGGGAACAAAAGAGAAUGAAAAGAAAGCAUCUGUGAGUAGAUAUUGGGGCUGUCUGGAUGAAAAACUUCACAUCUUCUCUAAAAAUAAAGAAAUAAAUAAAACCAGUUGGAAUUUAAAUGAGACCCUAGAAGAAUUUCUUGAAUUCCAGUGUUACUUCAGAGAUUCUCCCCUACUCCUCCUUCUCUAUUGGUGACUGCCUCCAUACAGUUUUAAAUCUCACUUGUUUCAGCAGUUGUUUCAACACAGAGUGACUUAUUUUCUCUUGUUGGUAAGAUACAUUCAUAGUUAAUCUUGUACCCACUAUUAUAAUCUGAUUAAUUGUCAGAUAUAUUUUCCUGUAACCUGACAUUAAGGUUGUCUUUUGUAGAAUUGUGGUGGAUUGCUAAGAAGGAAACACCGUCAACUCCCAAAAAUAUUCCAGUACAUCUAUGAAAAUGAUUCAGGACACACAAACCAUUUGGCCUGAAAACAUGGACCACAAAAUAUUCCAUUCAUCCUUUAGAUGGUAUAACAAUAUAGCCAGGACUGGAUUUAUUUCCCAGUUAAAACUUUCACAGAGAACUACAGUUUAGCUUGAUUAAAACAAAUUGUGACAUGUUGGUUGGAAAUACUUCUCACCUCCUUAAACAAAUGUUGAAAGGUUUUUCUUUUGACAUUGAAAAGAAAUAUUUCUAUUUUAAAUUCAUAAUGGUGUUUUAC